UAGGGAAUAUUGGACAAUGGGCGAAAGCCUGAUCCAGCAAUGCCGCGUGAGUGAUGAAGGCCUUAGGGUUGUAAAGCUCUUUUACCCGAGAUGAUAAUGACAGUAUCGGGAGAAUAAGCUCCGGCUAACUCCGUGCCAGCAGCCGCGGUAAUACGGAGGGAGCUAGCGUUGUUCGGAAUUACUGGGCGUAAAGCGCACGUAGGCGGCGAUUUAAGUCAGAGGUGAAAGCCCGGGGCUCAACCCCGGAACUGCCUUUGAGACUGGAUUGCUAGAAUCUUGGAGAGGCGAGUGGAAUUCCGAGUGUAGAGGUGAAAUUCGUAGAUAUUCGGAAGAACACCAGUGGCGAAGGCGGCUCGCUGGACAAGUAUUGACGCUGAGGUGCGAAAGCGUGGGGAGCAAACA
rnacentral:rRNA from 1 species